GACGAACGCUGGCGGCGUGCUUAACACAUGCAAGUCGAACGGAAAGGCCCUGCUUUUGUGGGGUGCUCGAGUGGCGAACGGGUGAGUAACACGUGAGUAACCUGCCCUUGACUUUGGGAUAACUUCAGGAAACUGGGGCUAAUACUGGAUAGGAGCUCCUUCUGCAUGGUGGCGUUUUGAAAGUUUCGUCGGUUGGGGAUGGACUCGCGGCUUAUCAGCUUGUUGGUGGGGUAGUGGCUUACCAAGGCUUUGACGGGUAGCCGGCCUGAGAGGGUGACCGGCCACAUUGGGACUGAGAUACGGCCCAGACUCCUACGGGAGGCAGCAGUGGGGAAUAUUGCACAAUGGGCGGAAGCCUGAUGCAGCAACGCCGCGUGAGGGAUGACGGCCUUCGGGUUGUAAACCGCUUUCGCCAGUGAAGAAGCGUGAGUGACGGUAAUGGGUAAAGAAGCACCGGCUAACUACGUG
rnacentral:rRNA from 1 species